CAAUAAGCGGAGGAAAAGAAACCAACAGGGAUUGCCCUUAGUAACGGCGAAGUGAAGCGGCAACAGCUCAAAUUUGAAAUCUGCCUUCGGGCCGAGUUGUAAUUUGUAGAGGAAGCUUUUGGUGAGGCACCUUCUGAGUCCCCUGGAACGGGGCGCCAUAGAGGGUGAGAGCCCCGUAUAGUCGGAUGCCGAUCCAAUGUAAAGCUCCUUCGACGAGUCGAGUAGUUUGGGAAUGCUGCUCAAAAUGGGAGGUAAAUUUCUUCUAAAGCUAAAUACCGGCCAGAGACCGAUAGCGCACAAGUAGAGUGAUCGAAAGAUGAAAAGCACCUUGAAAAGGGGGUUAAAUAGCACGUGAAAUUGUUGAAAGGGAAGCGUUUGCGGCCAGACUUGCGCCGCCCCGAUCAUCCGGUGUUCUCACCGGUGCACUCGGGGCGGCGCAGGCCAGCAUCGGUUUUGGUGGGGGGAUAAAGGUCCGGGGAACGUAGCUCCUUCGGGAGUGUUAUAGCCCCGGGCGUAAUGCCCUCGCCGGGACCGAGGUUCGCGCAUCUGCAAGGAUGCUGGCGUAAUGGCCGCCAACGACCCGUCUUGAAACACGGACCAAGGAGUCAAGGUUUUGCGCGAGUGUUUGGGUGUAAAACCCGCACGCGUAAUGAAAGUGAACGUAGGUGAGAGCUUCGGCGCAUCAUCGACCGAUCCUGAUGUAUUCGGAUGGAUUUGAGUAAGAGCGUUAAGCCUUGGACCCGAAAGAUGGUGAACUAUGCUUGGAUAGGGUGAAGCCAGAGGAAACUCUGGUGGAGGCUCGCAGCGGUUCUGACGUGCAAAUCGAUCGUCAAAUCUGAGCAUGGGGGGCGAAAGACUAAUCGAACCAUCUAGUAGCUGGUACGC
rnacentral:rRNA from 1 species